CCAGAAAAAACUCCCAGAUUGACGAUUGACGCAAAUUCCGUUUGAAACCCUUCUGGCCGACCUCAUAAGCUGAUGCAAACUUCUUGAACUCAUUCCAUCUUCAUCAACGACGACCCUACCGGACUGAUGAGAUGACGAUGAUGAUAAGAUGCUGUAAAAUUUAUCCUCUCUGACGAAGGAAUCACAGCCUUUGGACAACAUUGAUGACCUAUGGACUACAUCUUCACACGUGCCAUAAUGCUACACGUGUUAGUACGGAAUCACCCAAAAGAACGACGUGGAGUCUUUUUUCCCGGACGGAUAACGCUGGCUGAAAAAACUCCCAGAUUGACGAUUGACGCAAAUUCCGUUUGAAAACCUUCUGGCCGACCUCAUAAGCUGAUGCAAACUUCU